rnacentral:rRNA from 1 species
GAUGAACGCUGGCGGCGUGCCUAAUACAUGCAAGUCGAGCGAACAGACGAGGAGCUUGCUCCUCUGACGUUAGCGGCGGACGGGUGAGUAACACGUGGAUAACCUACCUAUAAGACUGGGAUAACUUCGGGAAACCGGAGCUAAUACCGGAUAAUAUAUUGAACCGCAUGGUUCAAUAGUGAAAGACGGUUUUGCUGUCACUUAUAGAUGGAUCCGCGCCGCAUUAGCUAGUUGGUAAGGUAACGGCUUACCAAGGCGACGAUGCGUAGCCGACCUGAGAGGGUGAUCGGCCACACUGGAACUAAGACACGGUCCAGACUCCUACGGGAGGCAGCAGUAGGGAAUCUUCCGCAAUGGGCGAAAGCCUGACGGAGCAACGCCGCGUGAGUGAUGAAGGUCUUCGGAUCGUAAAACUCUGUUAUUAGGGAAGAACAAAUGUGUAAGUAACUAUGCACGUCUUGACGGUACCUAAUCAGAAAGCCACGGCUAACUACGUG